GUUGUAUGCAUUCAGAACGACAAAAGCACCCUCUACAAAAGAAGUCUAAGUAUGGCUAGUGCAACAUAAAGGGAUACUAUAGACAUCGAAAUAAAAUUUGCUUAAGGAAGCAGUUUUGGUGUAUAUAUCAUGCCCCUGCACUCUCACUGCUCAAUUAUCUGCCAUUUGAGAGUAAAAUCACUUUGUUUAUACAGACCUAGUC